UCCAUUACUUGAGAUUUUUAAUUACAGAUGCUAGAAAAGAAUUGCAGUACCUUGAAAGACAUAUAGAAGAAUCUGAGAAGCGAUCUGUAUUACAUGCUAAAAAGUGCGAAAAGCUACAGGAAGAAUGUCGGCAGUUGAUGGCAGUUGCAACUCUUUUGAUAACAGCUCUGGAAAAUGCAAUAAAAGGCAAUUUGGUAGACAUGGAUUGUGUUUUAUCGGCUUGUGCCACCCAUCUUCCUGAUCUAGAAAAACUUCGGAGUGAGUCACCAGAGAAAAAAACUUCUGAUGAAAGUAAUCUUGAUGGG